AUGGUAACGAGCACCAUUCCAAGCAUUCCUUCCCUUUCUGGGCUCUUCAAAGCCAAAGGAGACUUCAACUUCUUUAUAAUCAUCCUUGGUAAGAACUUCCACCUUGAAUACUCGCACUCGUCGUCCAUAUGUUUCGCCACAAUCCUGACCAAUGCGAUAAAGGUUUCCUUCAUACAAAAACGGUCUGCCUCCAUUUCUAGCUCCCAAGCUUUUGUCAAUGUUAUAAAUUGGAUUCUUCUUGUGUGGCUUCCAAGGACCCAGAGGUGAACUGCUAUGCCAGAUUUCCAGCUGUCCAUUUUUCUUAGUUCCAAAGCCACUAUGAUCUGAACCAAAAAGCCAGUAUUCUCCUCCAUGUUUAAUGAUAAAGGAAUCAACAAGUGGCUUUUUUAUAAUAACUUUCUCCAGCGUCCACUGCAGUGGAAAAUUAACUGCUCGAUAAAGGCGAAGUUCCCCCUUUGCACUGCCCUCAGGUAUCAUGUAUAUUUUGUCAAGAUGGUUGAACACAUAGGGAUAAGAGAGAUGCCAGUCCUC
rnacentral:misc_RNA from 1 species